AUACAAAAGUCAAAAAGAGACAAAUUAUUGUUAAUAAUUUUAAUGAAAAAAAUUCUUGUAUAAG
rnacentral:tRNA from 1 species